rnacentral:rRNA from 1 species
CAGUCGCCGCGGGAAUACGUAGGUGGCAAGCGUUGUCCGGAACUAUUGGGCGUAAAGGGCUCGCAGGCGGUUUCUUAAGUCUGAUGUGAAAGCCCCCGGCUCAACCGGGGAGGGUCAUUGGAAACUGGGAAACUUGAGUGCAGAAGAGGAGAGUGGAAUUCCACGUGUAGCGGUGAAAUGCGUAGAGGUGUGGAGGAACACCAGUGGCGAAGGCGACUCUCUGGUCUGUAACUGACGCUGAGGAGCGAAAGCGUGGGGAGCGAACAGGAUUAGAUACCCGCGUAGUCCCUGUCUCUUAUAC